GCGCCCGUGGCUCAAUGGAUAGAGCAACGGACUUCGGCUCCGUGGAUUGGGGGUUCGAAUCCUCCCGGGCGCGCCA
rnacentral:tRNA from 1 species